rnacentral:rRNA from 1 species
CAGUAGCCACGGUAAUGCGAGGGGUGCAAGCGUUAUUCGGAUUGAUUGGGUGUAAAGGGUGUGCAGACGGCUUAUUAAGUCACUUGUUAAAUUCUUCGGCCUAACUGAAGGUCUGCAAGUGAUACUGAUGAGCUAGAGGGUGGAAGAGAGAAGUGGAAUUCUCGGAGUAGCGGUAAAAUGCGUAGAUCUCGAGAGGAACACCAAUGGCGAAGGCAGCUUCUUGGUCCAUUCCUGACGUUCAUACACGAAAGCGUGGGGAGCAAACAGGAUUAGAUACCCCCGUAGUCCCUGUCUCUUAUAC